rnacentral:snoRNA from 1 species
CACUUCUCAAUGAGCUCCUUCCUGCCAACAAAUCCGUGGCAGCCUAUGGAUUCGCACGAGAAGGAUAUUAACUGCUCAGUAGUGGCCAACUCACAAUGGGGCUCCCAUCAGUUGUGAUGAGCCACUGCU